rnacentral:rRNA from 1 species
GACGAACGCUGGCGGCGUGCUUAAAAACAUGCAAGUCGAACGGACUUCUCAUGAAGCUUGCGAUUGAGAAGUUAGUGGCGGACGGGUGAGUAACGCGUGGGCAACCUGCCCCUGAGCCCGGGAUAACAGUUCGAAAGGACUGCUAAGACCGGAUAUACUUGCGGGGAAGCAUUUCUCUGUAAGGAAAGGGAACGCUCAGGGAUGGGCCCGCGUCCCAUUAGCUAGUUGGUGAGGUAACGGCCCACCAAGGCGACGAUGGGUAGCCGGCCUGAGAGGGUGAACGGCCACACUGGGACUGAGACACGGCCCAGACUCCUACGGGAGGCAGCAGUUGGGAAUCUUCGGCAAUGGGCGCAAGCCUGACCGAGCAACGCCGCGUGAGUGAUGAAGGUUUUCGGAUUGUAAAGCUCUGUCUUCCGGGACGAUAAUGACGGUACCGGAGGAGGAAGCCACGGCUAACUACGUGCCAGCAGCCGCGGUAACAUACUCGUA